CUGAAACACUAGAUUGAAUUCAUUAGUAUAACAUAAGAUAUACUCAAAUGCUUUGAGCUCAUCAAAAUCAAAUAGGGUUAUAAUCAAUCACUCCACAAUCUCCUCCUUUUUGAUGAUGACAAAACAUUGAGUAUUUGUAAAGUGAAUUGCUCAACCAAAAAGUAGAUUUAUAGUAAAGUUCUAAAAUGAAUUUAAGUGUCUAGUCAUUUAAUUUAUCCAAAACUGAAAGGUGUGAAACAGUAAAUUUUGAAGUUAAAGCUCCCCCUUUC
rnacentral:lncRNA from 1 species